AUGGACUCAUGGCGGACGGGUGAGUAACGCGUAAAGAACUUGCCCUUUAGACUGGGAUAACAGAGGGAAACUUCUGAUAAUACUGGAUAAGUUAGUAUAUCGCAUGAUAUGCAAAUGAAAGCUACGGCACUAAAGGAGAGCUUUGCGUCCUAUUAGCUAGUUGGUAAGGUAAGAGCUUACCAAGGCGAUGAUAGGUAGCCGGCCUGAGAGGGUGGACGGCCACAAGGGGACUGAGAUACGGCCCUUACUCCUACGGGAGGCAGCAGUGGGGAAUAUUGGACAAUGGAGGAAACUCUGAUCCAGCAAUUCUGUGUGUGUGAAGAAGGUUUUAGGACUGUAAAACACUUUUAGUAGGGAAGAAAAAAAUGACGGUACCUACAGAAGAAGCAACGGCUAAAUACGUGCCAGCAGCCGCGGUAAUACGUAUGUUGCGAGCGUUAUCCGGAAUUAUUGGGCUUAAAGGGCAUCUAGGCGGUAAGACAAGUUGAAGGUGAAAACCUGUGGCUCAACCAUAGGCUUGCCUACAAAACUGUUGAACUAGAGUACUGGAAAGGUGGGUGGAACUACACGAGUAGAGGUGAAAUUCGUAGAUAUGUGUAGGAAUGCCGAUGAUGAAGAUAACUCACUGGACAGAAACUGACGCUGAAGUGCGAGAGCUAGGGGAGCAAACAGGAUUAGAUACCCUGGUAGUCCUAGCUGUAAACGAUGAUCACUGGGUGUGGGGAUGCGAAGUCUCUGUGCCGAAGCAAAAGCGAUAAGUGAUCCGCCUGGGGAGUACG
rnacentral:rRNA from 1 species